rnacentral:rRNA from 1 species
UACGUAGGGGGCAAGCGUUAUCCGGAAUUACUGGGUGUAAAGGGAGCGUAGACGGUGAUGUAAGUCUGGAGUGAAAGGCGGGGGCCCAACCCCCCGGACUGCUCUGGAAACUAUAUGACUGGAGUGCAGGAGAGGUGAGCGGAAUUCCUAGUGUAGCGGUGAAAUGCGUAGAUAUUAGGAGGAACACCAGUGGCGAAGGCGGCUCACUGGACUGUAACUGACGUUGAGGCUCGAAAGCGUGGGGAGCAAACAGG